UAUGGUCAUUGUGUGCCAGAAGACGAGGUAAUACGUAGGCGGCAAGCGUUGUCCGGAAUUAUUGGGCGUAAAGGGAGCGCAGGCGGGAAACUAAGCGGAUCUUAAAAGUGCGGGGCUCAACCCCGUGAUGGGGUCCGAACUGGUUUUCUUGAGUGCAGGAGAGGAAAGCGGAAUUCCCAGUGUAGCGGUGAAAUGCGUAGAUAUUGGGAAGAACACCAGUGGCGAAGGCGGCUUUCUGGACUGUAACUGACGCUGAGGCUCGAAAGCUAGGGUAGCGAACGGG
rnacentral:rRNA from 1 species